CAAGUACUCCCUCCACCCGGAAUUACUUGUCAUCAAAAUGGAUGUGUCUAGAACUAACAUACAUCUAGAUACAUCCAUUUCAAUGACAAGUAUUUCUGGACGGAGGGAGUACAAG
rfam:Triticum aestivum genome assembly, contig: Triticum_aestivum_CS42_TGACv1_scaffold_342591_4DL